rnacentral:sRNA from 1 species
AGACUCACUGGCAGUAGCUGAAGGAAUUAGAUGCGAAUCAAGUAACCUGAGAAUCCCAGAACAGAUCGAAGAAAGCUCAGUCUCAACUUUAGAUCUGUAAUCCUUAACAAGCGACACGUGUUCUUCGUUCUUCCUGCUCUCUUCCUUUUGCUCAAUCGAAGACACGAUUCUCCAUGCCGCACGAAGAGAUCCAAUCACGUUCUU